UCCGUAGGGCGCAAGCGUUGUCCGGAAUUAUUGGGCGUAAAGAGCUCGUAGGCGGCUUGUCACGUCGGGUGUGAAAGCCCGGGGCUUAACCCCGGGUCUGCAUUCGAUACGGGCUGGCUAGAGUGUGGUAGGGGAGAUCGGAAUUCCUGGUGUAGCGGUGAAAUGCGCAGAUAUCAGGAGGAACACCGGUGGCGAAGGCGGCAUCCUGGACCAUUACUGACGCUGAGGCGCGAAAGCCAGGGGAGCAAACGGG
rnacentral:rRNA from 1 species